UACAGGUGUGAGCCACAAUGCCCGGCCUUUUUUUUUUUUUUUUUUAAGCUCUCUCUUCAUUCUCUUGUCCUUUCAGGAGUCUGAUGACAUUAAUGUUAUAUAUUAUUCUCUCUUGCUAUAGUUCCACAGGUUGCUGAGGCUCUGUUCAUUUUUCUGAGUCUAUUUUGUCUCUGUUUCUCUGAUGGGAUAAUUCUGCUGUUCAGUGUUUGAGUUCCCUGGGUUUUUUCCUCUGUCCCCUCCAUUUUUCUGUUGAGAACAUUCACUGAAUUUUAAAAUUUUGAUCAACGUGUUUUUCCAUUCUAAAAUUUCCAUUUUUUUCUUCAUGUCUUUUAUUUAUUUGUAGAGGCUUUAUAUUUCUUUGAUGAGACUUCCUGUUUUUUCGUUUGUUUCAAGCACAUUCAUAAUUGCUUGUUCAAGCAAUUUUAUCAUGGCUAAUUUAAAAUCUUAGAUAAUUAAAAAAUCUCUGUCAUCUUGAUGUUGGCAUCUAGUGGUUGUUUUUUGCAUUCAGUUUGAAUUAUUUCUGGUUCUUGUUAUGAUGAGUACUUUUUUAUUAAAAUCUGGACAUUUUGGGAAUUAGGUUAUGAGACUCUAGAUUUUAUUCUUAUCUGCUUUAUCUGGAUUCCUGUGACACUGCUCUGCUGGGUGAAGUGGGUGGGGAUGCUUUGCCUCAUGACUGCCAGGUGUGAGUAGAAAUCUAGGUUCUUCACUUAGCCUUCCAUGACACCCAAGGGGAGGCUCUUAUUAUUGCUGGGCAAGGAGGGGACAUCUGUCUCCCUACUUAGGCUUUCACUUAUACCUCUCUAGUAGGGAGACGUUGGAUUUCCUUGUUAUUGCUACCCACAUGUGAAAUGAUGUGGUCACUUUAGAAAACAGUUGGGCAGUUCUUCAAAAAGAGGUACUGUAAGUCCCAGCAAUGCCACUACUAGGUAUAAGCCCAAGAAAAAUAAAAACGUAUGUCCAGACAAUAAUUUGUACACCAGUGUUUGUACCAGCAUUAUUUAUUUAGCUAAAAAAUGAAACAAUUUAGUCUGUCAACUGAAGAAUGGACAAACCAAAUGUAUAUCCAUACAAUGGAAUAUUAUUCAGCAGUAAUAGGAAAUGAGGUAUUGAUCAUGCUACGACAUGGAUGAACCUUGAAACAUUAAGCUAAGUGAAAGAAGGCAGUCACAGAGGACUAAAUAUUGUGUGAUUCCAUUUAUAUGAAAUGUCCAGAAGAGGUAAAUAUAUGGGGACAUAAAAUAGAUUCAUAGCUGUCUAGAACUGGGGGGUGAGUUGUGGGCAUAUGUGAAAUGACUGCUAAUGGUAUGGAGUUUUUUGGGGCUCAUGAAAGUGUUUUAAAAUUAAUUGUGAUAGUGGUUAUACAAACUUGUAAAUAUACUAAAAACCAAUAAUGUGUACACUUUAAAUGGGUGAAUUAUGUGCUAUGUGAUUUAUAUUUCUAUAAGAGUUUACAAACAAGUAAAGAAAACUCAGAGAACUUAACAUCUUGUAUUUCCUGAGGUUCCAACAUCUCUCGCCCGUAUGCUUGUUUCUCUCCACCUUUCAGAGCCCUCUUGUCUUUGUUUAUGUAUAAUAUCUAGGGUUUUUAGUGGAUAAAUAGAGAAAAUUGCAUUUAAUUUAUCUUGUCCUGUUAGCAGAAGUCAUUUGUUUUCAAAAUUACCUUUUAACUUUUAUUUUUCAAAUUAGCUUAUAAUUUUUUUUGUCCUAUAAACUUUAACACACAUAUAGAUGGGUUAACACAUAUAUGUUAAUCCUGGUUACCAUAACCAGGAUACAGAACAGUACUAUUAACCCGCAAACUGCUGUGUGCUAUUCCUCUGUAGUCAUAACCUUUCCUUAUUUCUAAAUUCUGACAAUACUGGUCUGUUUUCUGUUACUAUAUAAAUGGAAUUAUAAAAAGAAUAAGUGAUUUUUGGGAAUAGCUUUGUUUGUUCAGUGUAGUGCCUUUGAGAUUCAUUGAAGUUGGUCUGUGUAUCAGUAAUUUGUUUCUUUUUCUUCUGGAUUAGUACUCCAUUAUAUGGGUGUACAUACCACAGGUUGUCUAUACAUUCAGUCAUUAAAGGAUAUUUGCGUUGUUUCCAUUUUUGAUGAUGAGGAAUGGAGUUUUCAAAAACAUUUGUGUACAGGAUUUUCAUUUACAUAGUUUUAAUUUCUCUAGGGUAAAUACUUGGUAUGGGAUUUCUGGGUCAUAUGUUAAGUAUAUGUUUAACUUUAUAAGGAACUGCCAAACUGUGUUCCAGAGCAGUUCUACCAUUUUGCAUAGCUGCCAGCAAGGUUUGAGAGUUCUAGCUCUCUUGCAUCCUCACCAGCACUUGAUAUUGUAUUUUUAAAUUUUAGGUAUUGUCAUAGUAUGUGGCAGUAGUUAUUGUACUUUUAGCUUCUAUUUCUGUAAUGGCUAAUUAUGGUGAAUAUCUUUUCAUGUGCUUAUUUGCCACACUAUAUCCUUUUUGGGCAAGUGUCUGCUUGAGUCUUUUGUCCAUAUUUAAAUUGGAUUAUUUGUUUUUGUAUUAUUGAUUUUUGUGGAUUCUGUCUACAAGUUUUUUGUUGAAUAUGUGAUUUGCAAAUAUUAUUUCUCAUUUGGUAGUUUAUCUUCUUCUUUCAGCAGUGAUUUUCUAAGAGCAAAGGUUUUAUAAUUUGAGGAAUUCCAAUUUAUCAAUUGCAUCUUACUUAGAUUGUGCCUUUUUGUCUAAUAACUCUUUUUUUGUGUUUUUUUUUUUUACUUUUUUUUUUUUUUUGUCUACUAACUCUUUACUUAUGCCCUUGCCAUAAAGAUUUUCUUCCAUGUCGUCUUCUUCUUCUUCUUUUUUUCUUUGAAACAGUGUCUCACUUACUCUGUAGCCCAAGCUGGAGUGAGCUGGUAUAAUCUUGGCUCACUGCAAACUCUUGUCUCCUGGGUUCAAGCGAUUCUCUUGCCUCAGCCUCCUGAGGAGCUGGGAUUACAGGUGAGCUUCCUCAUGGUUUCACAAUGGCUGUCACAGUUCCAGACAACACAUGAAGAAAGCUGUGUCCAAGGGCAUAAAGUGGACCUUCCUUUUUCUAUGUUUCUUUUAAAGAUCAAGAAAGAUUUUUCUGGCAGAAAAACUUUAUUAGUCAAAGUCCUGGCAGGAAACAGAUAGCUACACAGUGGCAGAUUAUCUUUUUCAUAAAUGGCUGCAGCAGUCUCUCUCAUCCCAUAUACUUUUCUAUAGUGAGAUCUUACCAUUCCCCCAUUAAGAGGUGAAGUCAAAUUCUCCUCUCUUUGAAUAUGAGUGGGCUUGUGAAUUUAUCGGUCAUUAGUAUAUAGCAGAAAUGAUGGCUGUGUGACCUUUUAGGCUAAGUCAUAUGAAAUGAUGCACCUUUUGCCUGAUUAGUUGGAACACUCACACUUGUAACCCUGAGCUGCCAUUAAGAAGUCCAACUGAGACAGCAAUGCUGUAGAGACCAAAUGUAGAAACUCUGGUCAACAGCUCAGUUGAGCUCUUAACUGACAAGCAGUAUUGACUGUAAGCCAUUUGAGUGCGCCAUCUUGGACAUCCGGUACAGUUAAGUUUUCAGAUGACUGCAGCCCAAGCUGACAUCUGACUACAACUCCAAGGAAGACCCAAAGAGAACAUUUUCCACCUGAGCCCUUCCCAAAUUCCUGACUCAAAAAUUGUGAGAAAAAUAAACUUGUUGUUUUAAGCCACUAA